AGUGAACGCUGGCGGCGUGCUUAACACAUGCAAGUCGAACGAGAACGGUCCUUCGGGAUGUCAGCUAAGUGGCGGACGGGUGAGUAAUGUAUAGUUAAUUUGCCCCUUAGAGGGGGAUAACAGUUGGAAACGACUGCUAAUACCCCAUACUCCUUCUACAUUAAUUGUAGUUGGGAAAUGUUUUUUCGCUAAGGGAUAAGACUAUAUGGUAUCAGGUAGUUGGUGGGGUAAGAGCCUACCAAGCCAAUGACGCCUAGCUGGUCUGAGAGGAUGAUCAGCCACACUGGAACUGAGACACGGUCCAGACUCCUACGGGAGGCAGCAGUGGGGAAUAUUGCACAAUGGAGGAAACUCUGAUGCAGCAACGCCGCGUGGAGGAUGACACAUUUCGGUGCGUAAACUCCUUUUAUAUGGGAAGAUAAUGACGGUACCAUAUGAAUAAGCACCGGCUAACUCCGU
rnacentral:rRNA from 1 species